ensembl:lncRNA
CUGGCACACCCUGGGAAGCCCUUAGUCCUUCCUGAGCAGCAGCUCAUGGCCUCCCAGCCUGAUCACGCACGGGGAAGGGCCUUCUGUGCCAUACAGGGGAAAGAUGAAUCUGUGUCGUCGAGACUUGUCUUCAAAACAGCUGGGUGCAGAAAUUAUAGCUUCCUGGUGACAAUCGGUUCCACUUUGCAUGGUAACACAACAUGUUCCUAAUGACUGAAUUGUUUAUUUAAUAGAGAAAUCACAACCAUUUGGAAGUUUAAAUAUAGCCUCCCAGAAACCCAGUGAGCUCAGCUCCUGGUGGCGCUGGCCUCGGCCCCAUCCCUGCACCUCACGAAGCGUUAGCGACACGAUGGCUUGAGAACAUUCUCAGGUGUCUUCCGAGUGAACAGAACGCAGUGGGGCGUGGGGAGGUGGAGCCACGUCCAGUGACAGGGAGAAGGACUGGCUUGAUGCUGGCAGGGGCGAGGCCCUAUAAGUACACACUUCUAUACCCUUAGGGUACGACUUGGCUAUGGCCAUGAACCGUGGCCCAGUAACCCCAUCCAUGGGUCUAGUUCAUCCACUCCCCAGGCUUCCUUUGAGCAGUGAGACCCAAACAUUUUUCAGUUGCCUAAAGGGACUAUCUCCUGACCCCGAGGGGUCUCUCCUUGAUUUCAGUCUCCAGCCUGGGGUUAACCCAAGACAGGCUGUACCCAUUUCCUGCGGUUACUCUGGGGGCAGAGUGCUAGGUGAGUACCAGAGGCCUUGGGGCAGCUCCCAGCACCCCCAGCUUGGACUGCGGGGGGCCCUCCCACUUUACCACCAGGACCUGCCUCUCACCCUGCUUUGCUCAGGACAGAAGCCAAGCUGCAGGUGAGUCCANNNNNNNNNNNNNNNNNNNNNNNNNNNNNNNNNNNNNNNNNNNNNNNNNNNNNNNNNCAGAAAGGCAGGGACCCCGCUGUCAGGGGCUCCAGACCCCCCAGCAGGUAAGAAAAAGGACAACUUGGAAAUCUCAAAAAAAAAAAAAGACUAAGCUGGUAUGUUUUUCUUCAAACACCUACAUAUCACAACUCUGGUUAAUACACUCUUCAAAAUCUAGUUCCAUUUUACAUCCUUUCCUAACUGUACAAACCGGAACCUCAAUUCCUAUUUCCAUUUCCACCCGGGGGGAUGGGCGAGGGAAGAAGAGGGGUGCUUUCCCAAGGGAGAGGCGGCUGGAUUCAGAGGAGGAGCGGGCUGGGUUCUGGCUGGGUGGGGAAGGCCGCCUGCCAGGACUGACCUCCCCCCCGAAUUCCCCUCCUCUCUGGCUGACUGGUGGCCCUCACAUUCCCCAGAGGCCAGGCUGCUCUGCUCUCAGGGUGCUGAGCCAGAGGGCGAGACUGGCUGAAUUUAAAGCAAGAUGCAUUGCUGCCUGGUGGGCUGCUGGCCGCAGAGACCACCAGUGCAAGUCCCCCUCACAACGCGGGCCGAGACUUGGGCCUGGAGUGGGAGCUGGCAGGGCUGCCAUGCCCUCCUGGGCAAAGCAGAGAAGCCAGGCUGGUGUGGACAGAAACAGGAUGACUACCCACAGAGGACAGAGCCUCUUGUGGACACACCCGAACCACACUGGGGCGGUGGCGGCGGAGGGCCAACUGUGUGGAGAGGGCCCUUCACUUCCAGCCUUGGCCUUGGGAGUCAGGCAGCACAGUUACCCCUCCCCGGGCCCAUUCUGUCCUUCCCCUGCCCCUGGGGGCAUCUCCGGAACCCCUCCAGGCAGCCAGACACCCUUUCUGCCUACACCUUAGGACCAGCCGUGGCCUGCCUGCCUGGAACCUGGAGUAAGUGUACACCAGCCUCACGCACCGCCCCGGCUGUCACCUCUCAAGAUGUGACUGUGCCCAUCCCGGCCCCCAGGUCCUGACGUCUGUUCUCCAGGCCAGAUGCCAUCACCAGGGCCAGCAUCUCACGGGUGACUCACUCAGAAGCACCCCCCACAGCCUGCGAGGGAACCAAGGAGGGGUUACAGUGCCCGGUGAGGACCCCUGUCUCACAGGGCUGUCAUGAAGAUAGUGUGAGGUUACGGGGGUAAAGUGCCUGGCACAGAGCAGGUGCUUGGUAAAUGGUGGCAGUGGCGAUGCAGGAGGAAGCAGAGGAAAGCCAGACCAGGAGNNNNNNNNNNNNNNNNNUGGUGUGACCCUUCUGAGCAGCCAAACUCCAGCAGGGAAGAUGAAACCAAUUUCCUGACAGAGAGGAGCCAGGCCUCAAAUUCAGAGUGCCGGCUAGGGGGAGGUGGGGGCCCUUGGCACAGGUCCUGUGUGAGGCCAUCAGACCUGGACGUUUAGGGCUGUCGGCUUGGAGACAGUAUCUCUCGGAAGCUUUGGAAAGGGAGCCUGACCCCACUAGGGGGCCGCCAGAGAGGAGGGGGCGAG